rnacentral:rRNA from 1 species
UGGUGGAGUGAUUUGUCUGGUUAAUUCCGUUAACGAACGAGACCUCUUCUUGCUAAAUAGUUUACGUUAAGCAUUGCUUAGUGUUAAACUUCUUAGAAGGACUUUUGGCGAUUAGCCAAAGGAAGUUGGAGGCAAUAACA